GGAUUUCUGUUAAUAUUUUAUAUUAUUAAUUUAUUAUUAUUAAUAUAAUAUUAACAUAAUUCAUAUUACUUUUUUUGAGUAUAUGAAAUUUUACUUUGAGAAAAUUAGAGUGCUUAAAGCAGGCAUUUGCCUUGAAUACUCCAGCAUGGAAUAAUAUUAAAGAUUUUUAUCUUUCUUAUUGGUUCUAAGAUAGAAAUAAUGAUUAAUAGGGACAGUUGGGGGCAUUUGUAUUUAACAGUCAGAGGUGAAAUUCUUAGAUUUGUUAAAGACAAACUAAUGCGAAAGCAUUUGCCAAGGAUGUUUUCAUUAAUCAAGAACGAAAGUUAGGGGAUCGAAGACGAUCAGAUACCGUCGUAGUCUUAACCAUAAACUAUGCCAACUAGAGAUUGGAGGUUGUUCCUUACUCCUC
rnacentral:rRNA from 1 species